rnacentral:lncRNA from 1 species
AGCUUGCCGAUGAGUUGGUUAUUGAAUCAGCUGUGUAGUGCUGGGUCAGAACCAAAAGGUGCACCCGGGAGAGGGGGGGGGUGACUGAGUUGGGGAAACGCUGGUCUAAAAUCUUAACUGUUUAACUGAAGGAAACCCUGCCCAGAUGAAAUGGCACCCUAUUCCCUACAUUCUGACUGAUCCUCUUCGUUCCUGUGAAGAACCUAAGGAUUCCACAAGACUGCCUCUGUUGUUGAUCUUCAGCCUUAUACUCAUAGGGUACACAGUCAGUGUUGAUAUUUAAAUCACUGAGCCCACCGUUAAGAUCCGUUACACUGAGACACAACAAACGGCCCGUUAACUUGUCAACAAACAACUACCAAAUGAAAACCAGGGUCUUAUUGAUGGCUGGUUAUUGAUAUGACUUGCUGAAGCGUACAGAGAAUUGUUAGGAGUGUUGUUACUGUAGUUGUAGGACAGUAGUAACAGUAUUGGACUAAACUCUACAGGACUGUAGUUAAAACACAAACAGAAAGGGUGACAUUCUGUCUGCUAAAUAGUCCAGUUCCAACCACAACUACCUUAGUAGCAUCUACAUAGCCCCACAAAGCCCAAAGUUGCCAAAGCAAACAUAACAUCUAAAUACACUUCAACCAAAAUGAUUUUGGAAAGCUGCGGCUCAAGACUCCAUGGCGUGCAAGGGUUGUGGAACUGUUUACAAGCAAAUCAUCUCUGCCUUCUGAUGGUUGUUGUAAAACGAGACUUUGGAUCUUAAUCCCACAUGAAGUAUUGAGAACAACAACAGUCUUUUAAUCCAGUCGUCUCAGGGCUAUCUAGCAGACAGAUUUGAACCCCUAGACUGGCUAGAGAAGAGCCCCACUGGUCAUAUAAUACCCAGCAUGACUGAACGACUACGACUCAUAUAUUUUUUAUAUAUAUACACACACACACACACAGAGAGUACAUAUUCAUAGGAUGCACCUCCCUCACUAUGUCGCAUCAUGCCAUUGUUGUGAACGUUCUCAAGCAGGCCUCUAUCUGCGGCGCCCUAAAGUUGCGAUUAAAAAAAAGUAAUUCUGGAAAUACAAUGACAUUGCUAAAGUAGUCAAGUAUUUAGUAGGAAAAAGUUUGCAAGCGUUAUCAUGCCUUCAAAUUUACUUUGAUUGCAAUGUUGUCAUUAGCUAGCAAAGUUUGUCAAAAACCUAAUAAAAAAAAUGGCCUCACCUCCAUUUUAGCUAGCUAACGUUACACUGCAUCUAAAGUCAAUCUGGUGGCUAGCUAGCUAACGUUACACUGCAUCUAAAGUCAAUCUGGUGGCUAGCUAGCUAACGUUACACUGCAUCUAAAGUCAAUCUGGUGGCUAGCUAGCUAACGUUACACUGCAUCUAAAGUCAAUCUGGUGGCUAGCUAGCUAACGUUACACUGCAUUUAAAGUCAAUCUGGUGGCUAGCUAGCUAACGUUACACUGCAUCUAAAGUCAAUCUGGUGGCUAGCUAGCUAACGUUACACUGCAUUUAAAGUCUAUCUGGUGGCCUCCCCUCAAUCUUAGCUAGCUAGCUAAUGUUGUACUGCAUUUAAAGUCUAUCUGGUGGCCUCACCUCAAUCUUAGCUAGCUAGCUAACGUUAUACUGUAUCUAAAGUCAAUCUGGCGACAUCAAAAGGUUUUCCUACUAAUUAUUUGCCUCCUUUUGAGUGUCAUUGUAUUCCCAAGCCACUGUAAUGCACUUUUGAUGAAAUCUUCAUCGGCGCUCAUUGAGUAGAAUGCUCAGUCGUGCAUCAGUUCAAAACGAACGUUAUAAACAAUAUUGUGACGGAAUUUGCACUCCAUGAAUAAUGCUUUAACCUUUUCACAUGACGUUACUGUAGCACAAUAAGAUGACGGGACACUGCAGGUCAUGACUAUUUCUGUUCAGCCAGGCGGAGGAGUGGGCCUAACUUAAGUCGCUCCGCUAGCUGGCAAAAUUACGCACAUCCCUGUCGACUCACUCGUAAGAAUACUUACUCACACACACACACAUACGUGCACACACACACACACACACACUCACACACACACACACACACACUCACACACACACACACACUCACACACACACACACACACUCACACUCACACACUCACACUCACACUCUCUCACACACACACACACACACACACACACAUUGAUGUCACACCCUGAGUUAGACACUAGCUAGUAUGGAUAAAGUCAACAACAACAUAAUUACUCUCCCAUUGUUAUCCGUGUCUGAUUUAGUUGUAUUAGAUUUUAUUGAUCAGUGAUUUUAUUGCUUAUUUUAAUAUUCCUCUAUAUACCAACAUCCCUUCUCUCUUCACCCUCGCCCUUCAACCCCUCCUCUCUUCACCCCCCCUCGCCCUUCAACCCCUCCUCUCUUCACCCCCCUCGCCCUUCAACCCCACCUCUCUCUUCACCCCCUCGCCCUUCAACCCCACCUCUCUCUUCACCCCCUCCUCGCCCU